GAUGAACGCUGGCGGCGUGCCUUAAGCAUGCAAGUGGAACGCUUCUUGUUGGGUCGCAAGACUUGACGAGAGGAGUCGCGGACGGGUGAGUAAUGUAUAGGAAUCUACCCUUUGGCGGGGAAUAACUAACCGAAAGGCUGGCUAAUACCCCAUAAGAUCGUAAGAUGAAAGGCCUUAACGGGCCACCGAUGGAGGAGCCUAUGUCCUAUCAGCUAGUUGGUGGGGUAAGGGCCUACCAAGGCAAUGACGGGUAGCUGGAUUGAGAGAACGGUCAGCCACAAGGGGACUGAAGCACGGCCCAGACUCCUACGGGAGGCAGCAGUGGGGAAUUUUGGAGAAUGGGCGCAAGCCUGAUCCAGCAAUGCCGCGUGCAGGAAGAAGGCCUUCGGGUUGUAAACUGCUUUUGUCAGGGAAGAAAUCUUCUGGGUUAAUACCUCGGGAGGAUGACGGUACCUGAAGAAUAAGCACCGGCUAACUACGUGCCAGCAGCCGCCGUAA
rnacentral:rRNA from 1 species